rnacentral:rRNA from 1 species
CCUACGGGAGGCAGCAGUGAGGAAUAUUGGUCAAUGGCCGAGAGGCUGAACCAGCCAAGUCGCGUGAGGGAAGACGGCCCUACGGGUUGUAAACCUCUUUUGUCGGGGAACAAAGGCGGGGACGUGUCCCCGGAUGAGUGUACCUGAAGAAAAAGCAUCGGCUAACUCCGUGCCAGCAGCCGCGGUAAUACGGAGGAUGCGAGCGUUAUCCGGAUUUAUUGGGGUUAAAGGGUGCGCAGGCGGUCUGUUAAGUCAGCGGUAAAAGCCCGGGGCUCAACCCCGGCCCGCCGUUGAAACUGGCAGUCUCGAGUUGGAGAGAAGUAUGCGGAAUGCGCGGUGUAGCGGUGAAAUGCAGAGAUAUCGCGCAGAACUCCGAUUGCGAAGGCAGCAUGCCGGCUCCACACUGACGCUGAGGCACGAAAGCGUGGGUAUCGAACAGGAUUAGAUACCCCUGUAGUC